rnacentral:rRNA from 1 species
GACGUAGGAGGCGAGCGUUAUCCGGAUUCACUGGGCGUAAAGCGCGCGUAGGCGGUCGGUUAAGUCGGACGUGAAAGCCCCUGGCUCAACUGGGGGAGGCCGUUCGAUACUGGUCGGCUUGAGGGUGAGAGAGGGGAGUGGAAUUCCCGGUGUAGCGGUGGAAUGCGUAGAGAUCGGGAGGAACACCAGUGGCGAAGGCGGCUCCCUGGCUCACUUCUGACGCUGAUAGCGCGAAAGCGUGGGGAGCAAACGGG